rnacentral:lncRNA from 1 species
AAGGAUACAAACACAAAUUGGUCAUGGGAGGAAUUUCAUCAAAUUAAAAUCAUUCAUUCAUUUUGGGAGAUGAAAUGUACAUUUCAUCAAUCCCCUAAAUCCAAUGAUUUUAAUCCAAUAAAAGUCAAAUCAACCUUGACCAAGGCCCAAACACAAUAGUCAAACCUCACACAUCAAUAAAAAUGGUUCAACACAAUUUAUUCAUAAUUAAACAAAUUAAAAAUAAAUUAAAAAUGCAUUA